ACCCUAAAACUUUCAUUUCACUUGCAUCUCGAGGAAGACUCUCUAUGUUGCUGGAAGGAGUUCUUUUAUGGCGGCCAUGUGCAUCUUAUUCUUGGGCUCGAACUGGGGUCGAAUCUGGAGCUAUGUUUUGCAGACAUGGGAUACUUUAUCCUUCUUUGUCUUUCCUGACGAGGUUAAAACUUUGGCUUCUUUCUCUUUUAUGUCUUCUUGAUGAAGACAACUCCUUGCCGCUUGCAUGUUUCUUGAAGUUGAGCUCGAGCUAGGGUUAAAUUGGAGCCAGCUGGGUGUUGGACUCUUGCUUCUUCCACAUGGAAUUUAAUCUGAGACUCUCUUGUGUGGUCAUCUCAUGGAGAAGACAUCGGGAUGCUUGGAUCAACAAAGUUGACCAAAAGACCUUCUUCAAAACUCAUCAACCUAUUCAGGCAAUGAUGGGUUCUUUCUUUCCCUUCUUCCUACAUUCUUCCGUUCCUUUUGUGUUUGCAUUUCUAUGAUCAAUGUGAUCUUUUCUCAUCUAUUCCCACAUCUUAUGUGGGAUAUUAUAGACAAUUCGUUCUUUAUAAAUAAAAUUGUAUUACAUGCAGAUGUUUUAUUCA